AUGAACGCUGGCGGCGUGCCUAAUACAUGCCAGUCGCGCGAACAGACGAGGAGCUUGCUCCUCUAACGUUAGCGGCGGACGGGUGAGUAACACGUGGAUAACCUACCUAUAAGACUGGGAUAACUUCGGGAAACCGGAGCUAAUACCGGAUAAUAUAUUGAACCGCAUGGUUCAAUAGUGAAAGACGGUUUUGCUGUCACUUAUAGAUGGAUCCGCGCCGCAUUAGCUAGUUGGUAAGGUAACGGCUUACCAAGGCAACGAUGCGUAGCCGACCUGAGAGGGUGAUCGGCCACACUGGAACUGAGACACGGUCCAGACUCCUACGGGAGGCAGCAGUAGGGAAUCUUCCGCAAUGGGCGAAAGCCUGACGGAGCAACGCCGCGUGAGUGAUGAAGGUCUUCGGAUCGUAAAACUCUGUUAUUAGGGAAGAACAAAUGUGUAAGUAACUAUGCACGUCUUGACGGUACCUAAUCAGAAAGCCACGGCUAACUACGUG
rnacentral:rRNA from 1 species